CCACGGGCGCAGCAGUGGGGAAUAUUGCACAAUGGGGGAAACCCUGAUGCAGCGACGCCGCGUGAGUGAAGAAGUAUUUCGGUAUGUAAAGCUCUAUCAGCAGGGAAGAAAAUGACGGUACCUGACUAAGAAGCCCCGGCUAACUACGUGCCAGCAGCCGCGGUAAUACGUAGGGGGCAAGCGUUAUCCGGAUUUACUGGGUGUAAAGGGAGCGUAGACGGCGCGGCAAGUCUGAAGUGAAAGGCAGGGGCUUAACCCCUGAACUGCUUUGGAAACUGCCAUGCUAGAGUGCUGGAGAGGUAAGG
rnacentral:rRNA from 1 species